GGGUGUAGCUCAAGUGGUAGAGUGUGUGCUUUGCAUGCACAAGGUCCUGGGUUCAAUCCCCAGUACCUCCU
rnacentral:tRNA from 1 species